AUUGAACGCUGGCGGCAGGCCUAAAACAUGCAAGUCGAACGAGUGGAGGACGGUUGAGUAAUGUAUGGAAAACUGACUGAUGGGGGGGGAUAACUACUGGAAACGGUAGCUAAUACCGCAUACCAUCGGAUGUGCCCAGAUGGGCUGAGCUUGUUGGUGGUGUAACGGCUCACCAAGGCGACGAUCCCUAGCUGGUCUGAGAGGAUGAACAUAUCAACAGGAACUGAGACACUGUGGAGACUCCCACGGGAUGCAGCAUUGGGGAAUAUGGCACAAGGGGUGCAGUCCUGAUGCAGACAAGACGAGUGUAGGCAGAAGGCCUUCGUGUUGUAAAGUACUGUCAGCGGGGAGGCGUUGCCCGCAGAAGCAGCACCGGCUAACUCCGUGCCAGCAGCCGCGGUAAUUC
rnacentral:rRNA from 1 species